GAGGGAGGUGAUGACACUGCAGAGGACUCUGCUGGGGAGGCUGGCAGCACAGUCUCUGAGAGCCUCUGCAUCAUGCCUGCCUG
rnacentral:pre_miRNA from 1 species